ACUAACUCUGGCGGCAUGCCUAACACCUGCAAGUCGCACGCAGUCUUCGGACUUAGUGGCGCACGGGUGCGUAACGCGUGGGAAUCUGCCCUUGGGUACGGAAUAACUCAGAGAAAUUUGUGCUAAUACCGUAUAAUGUCUUCGGACCAAAGAUUUAUCGCCCAAGGAUGAGCCCGCGUAAGAUUAGCUAGUUGGUGGGGUAAAAGCCUACCAAGGCGACGAUCUUUAGCUGGUCUGAGAGGAUGAUCAGCCACACUGGGACUGAGACACGGCCCAGACUCCUACGGGAGGCAGCAGUGGGGAAUAUUGGACAAUGGGCGAAAGCCUGAUCCAGCAAUGCCGCGUGAGUGAUGAAGGCCCUAGGGUUGUAAAGCUCUUUUACCAGGGAUGAUAAUGACAGUACCUGGAGAAUAAGCUCCGGCGAACUCCGU
rnacentral:rRNA from 1 species